rnacentral:rRNA from 1 species
UUAUAAAAAAUCUGGUCUGCUCUAUGUAAAUGGCCGCGGUAUAUUGACUGUGCUAAGGUAGCAUAAUAAUUAGCUUUUUAAUUGGGGGCUUGAAUGAAUGAUUGGACGAGAGAGUGACUGUCUUUAGAGAUUGAAUUUUGAGUAAAUGUGAAAAUACAUGAGGGACGAGAAGACCCCAUUAAGUUUAAUUAUUUUGCUGGGGCGGUAAUGAUGAUAAAGAGAUUAAAUUACUAUGGGGAUAACAGCGUAAUAUUUUUGGAGAGAUCUUAUUGAUGAGAAUGUUUGCGACCUCGAUGUUGAAUUAAGACUUCUAGGUGUAGGACUUUUAAAUUCUUACA